UAACAAGGUCUCCGUUGGUGAACCAGCGGAGGGAUCAUUACCGAGUUUACAACUCCCAAACCCAUGUGAACAUACCUACUGUUGCUUCGGCGGGAUUGCCCCGGGCGCCUCGUGUGCCCCGGAUCAGGCGCCCGCCUAGGAAACUCAACUCUUGUUUUAUUUUGGAAUCUUCUGAGUAGUUUUUACAAAUAAAUAAAAACUUUCAACAACGGAUCUCUUGGUUCUGGCAUCGAUGAAGAACGCAGCGAAAUGCGAUAAGUAAUGUGAAUUGCAGAAUUCAGUGAAUCAUCGAAUCUUUGAACGCACAUUGCGCCCGCCAGUAUUCUGGCGGGCAUGCCUGUCUGAGCGUCAUUUCAACCCUCAUGCCCCUAGGGCGUGGUGUUGGGGAUCGGCCAAAGCCCGCGAGGGACGGCCGGCCCCUAAAUCUAGUGGCGGACCCGUCGUGGCCUCCCCUGCGAAGUAGUGAUAUUCCGCAUCGGAGAGCGACGAGCCCCUGCCGUUAAACCCCCAACUUUCCAAGGUUGACCUCAGAUCAGGUAGGAAUACCCGCUGAACUUAAGCAUAU
rnacentral:rRNA from 1 species